rnacentral:lncRNA from 1 species
ACAAUCACAGAGCCACAUCCCCUACCCCUUUUCAUUUUUAGAUGAGGUCUUGCUAAAUUGCUUAGGCCCUUGCUAAAUUGCUGAAGCUGACCUUGAACUUGCAAUCCUCUUUUCUCAGCCUUCCAAUUUUCUGGGAUUACAGGUAUGCAUCACCAUGCCUGGCUCUGGAUAAUUGAACCUUCAUAUAGCUAUUUAAAAAUGAAUAUUCAAGGAAAAGAAGAGCUCAAACUAUCCCUAUUUGCUGACAUGAUUCUGUAUUUAGAAGAUUCAAAAAAACUCCACAGAAAGAUUCUAGAACUCAUAAAUGAAUCCAGCAAAAUUGCAGGAUAUAAAACUAACAUCCACAAAUCAAUGGUAUUCCUAUACACCAAUGACAAAUCAGCAGAAAGAAAAAUCAGAAAAACGAUCCCAUUUAGAAUAACCUCAAAACAAAACAAAACAUUGGGAAUCAAAUCUAAUAAAAGAGGUGGAAACUACAGAAUUCUAAAGAAAGAAAUUGAAGAAGAGCUUAGAAAAUGGAAAGAUCUCCCAUGUGCUUGGAUAGGUAGAAUUAAUAUUGUCAAAAUGGCCAUACUACCAAAAGCACUAUACAGAUUUAAUGAAAAUCCUAUUAAAAUCCCAAUGACUUUCUUGACAGAAAUAGAAAAAAGUCAUUUGGAAAAAUAAGAGACCCAGAAUAGUCAAAACAAUUUUUAUCAAGAAAAGGGAUGCAGGAGGCAUCACAAUACCAGAUCUUAAAUUAUACUCAAAGCUACAGUAACUAAAAUGGCAUAGUGUUGAUACCAAAAUAGACAUGAAGACCAAUGGAACAGAAUAGAAGAUACAGAGAAAAACGCACAUGAAUAUAGUUAUCUCAUACUAGAAAAAUGCACCAUAAACAUACAUUGGAGGAAGGAUAGCCUCUUCAAAAAGUGGUUCUAGGGGGCUGGAGUUGUGGCUCAGUGGUAGAACACUUGCCUUGAAUGUGUGAGGCACUGGGUUUGAUUCUCAGCACCACAUAUAAUUAAAAAAUAAAGGGUUU